rnacentral:rRNA from 1 species
UGUAAGCGUAUACCAAAGUUGUUGCAGUUAAAACGCUCGUAGUCGGAAUUUGGCAGUUCCGGAUGUGUGCACGUCGUGUGCGCACUUCGCGGGGAUUGCUUUUGUGGUCUUGCGUAGGAUGAGGCACUUUUUUUAGUGAACGUCCUCACGCAACCACUUUUUACUGUGAGAAAAUCAGAGUGCUCAAAGCAGGCAUUUGCCGUGAAUGUAUUAGCAUGGAAUAAUAGAAUAGGACUUGGUUCUAUUUUGUUGGUUUGUUGGGACUGAGUAAUGAUUAAGAGGGACAGUUGGGGGCAUUUGUAUUUCGGUGCUAGAGGUGAAAUUCUUAGAUUACCGAAAGACAAACUGCUGCGAAAGCGUCUGCCAAGGAUGUUUUCAUUGA